UGGGGAAUCUUGGACAAUGGGGGCAACCCUGAUCCAGCCAUGCCGCGUGAGUGAUGAAGGCCUUAGGGUCGUAAAGCUCUUUCGCCUGUGAAGAUAAUGACGGUAGCAGGUAAAGAAACCCCGGCUAACUCCGUGCCAGCAGCCGCGGUAAUACGGAGGGGGUUAGCGUUGUUCGGAAUUACUGGGCGUAAAGGGCGUGUAGGCGGUCUAAUCAGUCAGAGGUGAAAGCCCUGGGCUCAACCCAGGAAUUGCCUUUGAUACUGUUAGACUAGAGUUCGGGAGAGGAUAGUGGAAUUCCCAGUGUAGAGGUGAAAUUCGUAGAUAUUGGGAAGAACACCAGUGGCGAAGGCGGCUAUCUGGACCGAUACUGACGCUGAGGCGCGAAAGCGUGGGGAGCAAACAGG
rnacentral:rRNA from 1 species